rnacentral:tRNA from 1 species
GGGGAUUUAGCUCAGUGGCAUAAGCACCUGCCUUGCAAGCAGGCAGGCUGUCGUGAGUUCGAUCCCCG